rnacentral:tRNA from 1 species
GCAGAGGUGGCGGAACUGGUAGACGCACUAGUCUCGAAAACUAGUGUCCUUUUGGACAUGCAGGUUCAAAUCCUGUCCUCUGCG